rnacentral:rRNA from 1 species
GAGGAAUAUUGGACAAUGGGUUAGCGCCUGAUCCAGCCAUCCCGCGUGAAGGACGACGGCCCUAUGGGUUGUAAACUUCUUUUGUACAGGGAUAAACCUAUUCUCGUGAGAGUAGCUGAAGGUACUGUACGAAUAAGCACCGGCUAACUCCGUGCCAGCAGCCGCGGUAAUACGGAGGGUGCAAGCGUUAUCCGGAUUUAUUGGGUUUAAAGGGUCCGUAGGCGGAUCUGUAAGUCAGUGGUGAAAUCUCACAGCUUAACUGUGAAACUGCCAUUGAUACUGCAGGUCUUGAGUAAGGUAGAAGUGGCUGGAAUAGGUAGUGUAGCGGUGAAAUGCAUAGAUAUUACUUAGAACACCAAUUGCGAAGGCAGGUCACUAUGUCUUAACUGACGCUGAUGGACGAAAGCGUGGGGAGCGAAC